UUGAUAAACACUUUUAUUUCUCUACCUAAAAAAGCUGACAAAAUCGGGUCCCCACUGUAAUAAAAUGAGUCAUACUCUUACUCUUGUUCAAAACAUCAUUGCAAAGUGUACUCCGUACGUGUAUUAUUUUCAAGAACCAUUCUCAUUUCAUCACUUAACUAUCAACUCUUCAUCACGCUUGCCGAUAAGAUUGCUUCACUGUCCGUGUCGUGUUUUUCUGUAGCCCGGUACGUUGCCAAUCCAUUACCGUAAACUCACAAGCCGCUAUGCACUAACAAUCACUCUUCGUUCCUCCCAAAGGGUUGACUUCUACCCGCUAAUAAAAGUCACAAUUCGGAACAUUUUGAUGGCAUCACGUACUAUAAAACCACUAUAGCUCCCUCGGCUGCGUCGCGUCACCGUUAUCAGAAACGUUAUCAGAGCACAGCAAGACUGCACAAUGCAACAAUGCCAACAACAACAACACACCGUUUCGUGGAACGACAGCUUCAACCGCACUCUGGCACUCUUGCUCGUUUGAUGCAUCUCGUGUGGGGCCCCGUUGAAUCACCAACCGGCUCGUUCUCGCCCGGCCUUUUCGCGGCGUUCCACACCUUCACGCGUAUUUACGGAUUCAGUUGUAUGCUGGUGCGUAUAAUCCACAAAACGAUGCAGAAGUUCAUUCCUGCUGUGGAGGCUAACUACACACCAGCUGAUUUGGAUUUCACACGGUUCUACAACAAUGGCACACACACACGUGAUGGACGAGUUUGGACCAUAAGGUAACUGAAUUUCACUUUGAUUGACACUAUUUUGCCGCCCAUCACGCUACGAACCGCAGGAUGUGUGCCAAAACUGCCCACUACUGAAUAAUACGUAGCAAACGACCUCGUUCGCAUCAGUUUUGCUGGCGCAAGCAAUUGACCGGACAUGCAAGUCAAUUUCAGGAAUCUUCAGAACCGACGCAUUCCCAAUUCUACUAUUUGGCUGUCGCGCGGAACAGUUUCAGAGAUGAAUCCGCAACCGGCACUGGCUUCAUUCAACUAGGUACUCCCUCAAAACAAAUAUCGGCGAAAAAGUUCAUCACGCGCCAGACAGCUCGAAUACGUGCUGGAGAAACGUGGAAGCAGAAAGAGAAAUAAAUAAGUCAACAAAUAUGGUUAAUAAAAAGCCGUCUUAACCGUGAA